CCUACGGGAGGCAGCAGUGAGGAAUAGUGGUCAAUGGACGAGAGUCUGAACCAGCCAAGUAGCGUGAAGGAUGACGGCCCUAUGGGUUGUAAACUUCUGUUAUAGGGGAAUAAAAUGUUCCACGUGUGGGAUUUUGUAUGUACCAUAUGAAUAAGGAUCGGCUAACUCCGUGCCAGCAGCCGCGGUAAUACGGAGGAUCCGAGCGUUAUCCGGAUUUAUUGGGUUUAAAGGGGGCGUAGGGGGCUUGUUACGUCAGUUGUGAAAGUUGGGGGCUCAACCGUAAAAUUGCAGUUGACACUGGCAGUCUUGAGUACCGUAGAGGUGGGCGGAAUUCGUGGUGUAGCGG
rnacentral:rRNA from 1 species